AAAACCUGACCGGGUUUCAAUAUUGACUGCAAGCUAAAAAUAUCGAGAGAUGGCAAAACCCACGAAGUUUGUUAUGGAUUUCUUCAGGGGUCGAACUGUCUAUGCUCAGGCUGCAGCUGUUGGUACAGUUCUAACUUUAUUGAAGCUGCACAUAGAAGACCUACAUUACAGGGUUGAAACUAAGGCAUCUCAAUUAUGUGCCAGACGAUGGCUGAAUCGUGGGAAUCAGUAGCCUCAAGAGAAUCUUUGUUAUUUUAGAAGAAACUUUAUGUAUUGCUAGUGAUAUAAAAAUUAAAUUAAAUGUUCAUAAAGUG
rnacentral:sRNA from 1 species